UGGGGAAUAUUGCACAAUGGGCGCAAGCCUGAUGCAGCCAUGCCGCGUGUAUGAAGAAGGCCUUCGGGUUGUAAAGUACUUUCAGUCGGGAGGAAGGUGUCAAGGUUAAUAACCUUGGCAAUUGACGUUACCGACAGAAGAAGCACCGGCUAACUCCGUGCCAGCAGCCGCGGUAAUACGGAGGGUGCAAGCGUUAAUCGGAAUUACUGGGCGUAAAGCGCACGCAGGCGGUUGAUUGAGUCAGAUGUGAAAAUCCCCGGGCUUAAGCCCGGGAAUUGCAGUCUGAUACUGGUCAGCUAGAGUCUUGUAGAGGGGGGAUAGGAAUUCCAUGUGUAGCGGUGAAAUGCGUAGAGAUGUGGAGGAAUACCGGUGGCGAAGGCGGCCCCCUGCACAAAGACUGACGCUCAGGUGCGAAAGCGUGGGGGAGCAAACAGGAUUAGAUACC
rnacentral:rRNA from 1 species